rnacentral:rRNA from 1 species
CCCUUAGAUGUUCUGGGCUGCACGCGCGCUACAAUGGCGUUUUCAAAAAGAUUGCUAAUCCGAAAGGACCAGCGGAUCUUCGAAGUGGCGUCGUGAUCGGGACAGUUGAUUGCAAUUAUUCCACUCGAACGAGGAAUUCCUUGUAAUCGUGCGUCAUCAGCGCACGCUGAAUACGUCCCUGUUCUUUGUACACACCGCCCGUCGCUCCUACCGAUCGAGCGAUCCAAUGAAUGUUUCGGAGCGGAACUGAGAUGCUAAUGCGUCUCUUUUACGCGAAUUUGUGUGAAUUUGAUCGCUUAGAGGAAGGAGAAGUCGUAACA